UAGGGAAUUUUCGUCAAUGGGCGCAAGCCUGAACGAGCGAUGCCGCGUGAGUGAAGAAGGCCUUCGGUCGUAAAGCUCUGUUGCGGGGGAAAAAAGGACAGCAUCAGGAAAUGGGUGCUGACUGAUGGUGCCCCGCCAGAAAGUCACGGCUAACUACGUGCC
rnacentral:rRNA from 1 species